AAACAAGCUCUUGGCAUCUGUGAGAAUCUAAGAGAAAUGAAGAUCAAUAUGCUUGGUUUAGAAGUCAAAUCCAAGUUCAAUGGCGUUCCCAUCUACAUCUGUAAAGCGAUGCGCAUUAAACAAAGGUAUCAAGAUAAGGGUGGUUUGAAGGCCAGAGUAGGACGCAUGCAAGACACCCUUGAGGGAGAGGUGAGGGCAACGAGAAUGCAAGGCACUUCUAAACUUUUCUGUUUUUUUUUUUUUUAUUCAAAGCACUGGAGGCUAGGUGAAGUGUCACCUCUCAUUCGUCCAUGAUCUUUGCCAUCCGCUGCCUACUGGCCUCGAUCUGUUCUAGCUCUUUUUCACUUCAACCACUUCUAACGGACAGAGAUUAACUUACCAGUCAUGUUACGAUGACUUAUUAUAUUAUUUUCAGAUUGUUUUCUCGUCUUUUUUCUAGAAAUUAACUUUAAGGCCUUUGUAUUGUCUUUUUUACAUUAAAUAUAUAGCUACUUCUUGCUUAUCUUUGUAAACUGUACGUAUAUAAGUCAAUACAAAUUAUGGGACUGGAAUCAUAAUUAGGUUAUAUUUUCUGA